ACGGGUAACGGGGAAUCAGGGUUCGAUUCCGGAGAGGGAGCCUGAGAAACGGCUACCACUUCCAAGGAAGGCAGCAGGCACGCAAAUUACCCACUCCCGGCACGGGGAGGUAGUGACGAAAAAUAACAAUACGGGACUCUAAUGAGGCCCCGUAAUUGGAAUGAGUACAAUCUAAAUCCUUUAACGAGGAUCAAUUGGAGGGCAAGUCUGGUGCCAGCAGCCGCGGUAAUUCCAGCUCCAAUAGCGUAUAUUAAAGUUGUUGCGGUUAAAAAGCUCGUAGUUGGAUCUCAGUUCAUGCUAUGUGGUCCACUUGCCGGUGGUUACUACUUAGCUGAACAUCUUACAGACCUGUCUUGCAAUGCUCUUCACCGGGUGUUGUGAGCGAUCUGUACGUUUACUUUGAAAAAAUUAGAGUGCUUAAAGCAGGCGUAAUGCCAGAAUAAUCUUGCAUGGAAUAAUGGAAUAGGACCUCGGUUCUAUUUUGUUGGUCUUCGGAAUCUGAGGAAAUGAUUAAGAGG
rnacentral:rRNA from 1 species